rfam:Spinacia oleracea cultivar SynViroflay scaffold3720.con0006.1, whole genome shotgun sequence.
AACCUAUUAGCUCAAAUGGCAGAGCAUUGUGCAAAUGCGCAAAGAUGUGGGUUCGAAUCCCAUGUAGGUUA